GUGCUUGCUUUGGCAAGCACAUAAACUAAAAUUGGAAUAACAUAGUGAAGAUCAGCAUGGCCCUGGCACAAGGAUGACACGCAAAUUCGUGAAGCAUUAAAAAAAAAA
ensembl:snRNA U6 U6 spliceosomal RNA